rnacentral:rRNA from 1 species
UGGGGGAUAUUGCACAAUGGGCGAAAGCCUGAUGCAGCGACGCCGCGUGGGGGAUGAAGGCCUUCGGGUUGUAAACUUCUUUUGCCCUGAACAAGGCAUGCCUUUGGGGUGUGUUGUGUGUAGGGGUUGAUUAGCGCCGGCUAACUACGUGCCAGCAGCCGCGGUAAUACGUAGGGCGCGAGCGUUGUCCGGUAUUAUUGGGCGUAAAGGGCUUGUAGGUGGCUGGUUGCGUCUGUCGUGAAAGCUCAUGGCUUAACUGUGGGUUUGCGGUGGGUACGGGCUGGCUUGAGUGCAGUAGGGGAGGCUGGAAUUCCUGGUGUAGCGGUGGAAUGCGAAGAUAUCAGGAGGAAUACCGGUGGCGAAGGCGGGUCUCUGGGCUGUUACUGACGCUGAGGAGCGAAAGCGUGGGGAGCGAACAGG